CUCUGUGGAUUCAGUCGGUAGAACUUGGCGGACUGUUAAUCCGUAUGUCACUGGUUCGAGUCCAGUGGGAGGCC
rnacentral:tRNA from 1 species